GCUGUCCUAGAUCAGCACCACAGGCAUGGCCCAGCUGCUCAGCUGAGCCUGUGACAUUGGGGCAAAGAGCAAGUGGCUGUUUCUACGCUCAGUGCUCAGAAGCCCGUGAGCACUAAGAAUGGUUUGUAGCCUAACAUUU
ensembl:snoRNA Snora43 small nucleolar RNA SNORA43